GCAAACUUGGUCAUUUAGAGGAAGUAAAAGUCGUAACAAGGUUUCCGUAGGUGAACCUGCGGAAGGAUCAUUCAUAAUAAGUGUUUUAUGGCACUUUUUAAAAUCCAUAUCCACCUUGUGUGCAAUGUCAGUUGUUCCUUGCGAAUGACUUAACAUCAACUUGAUUCAACUUUUAGUCUGAAAAAUAUUAUGAAUAUCUAAUUCAAAUACAACUUUCAACAACGGAUCUCUUGGCUCUCGCAUCGAUGAAGAACGCAGC
rnacentral:misc_RNA from 1 species